AUUGUAUAAAUGUUGUGCAUGUGGCCAAGUGUGGUGUCCCAUGUUCGGAAUUUGUGCUCUGCAUUAAACCCAUCCAAGUGCACACACACACACA